rnacentral:rRNA from 1 species
GACGAACGCUGGCGGCGUGCUUAACACAUGCAAGUCGAACGGAAAGGCCCUGCUUUUGUGGGGUGCUCGAGUGGCGAACGGGUGAGUAACACGUGAGUAACCUGCCCUUGACUUUGGGAUAACUUCAGGAAACUGGGGCUAAUACCGGAUAGGAGCUCCUGUUGCAUGGUGGGGGUUGGAAAGUUUCGGCGGUUGGGGAUGGACGCGCGGCUUAUCAGCUUGUUGGUGGGGUAGUGGCUUACCAAGGCUUUGACGGGUAGCCGGCCUGAGAGGGUGACCGGCCACAUUGGGACUGAGAUACGGCCCAGACUCCUACGGGAGGCAGCAGUGGGGAAUAUUGCACAAUGGGCGGAAGCCUGAUGCAGCAACGCCGCGUGCGGGAUGACGGCCUUCGGGUUGUAAACCGCUUUCGCCUGUGACGAAGCGUGAGUGACGGUAAUGGGUAAAGAAGCACCGGCUAACUACGUG